AUUGAACGCUGGCGGCAGGCCUAACACAUGCAAGUCGAGCGGAUGAAGGGAGCUUGCUCCUGGAUUCAGCGGCGGACGGGUGAGUAAUGCCUAGGAAUCUGCCUGGUAGUGGGGGAUAACGUCCGGAAACGGGCGCUAAUACCGCAUACGUCCUGAGGGAGAAAGUGGGGGAUCUUCGGACCUCACGCUAUCAGAUGAGCCUAGGUUGGAUUAGCUAGUUGGUGGGGUAAAGGCCUACCAAGGCGACGAUCCGUAACUGGUCUGAGAGGUUGACCAGUCACACUGGAACUAAGACACGGUACACACUCCUACGGGAGGCGGAAGUGGGGAAUGUUGGGAAAGGGGGGAAAGCUUAACGCAGCAACGCGGCGUAUGUGAGGAAGUUCUUCGAAUCUUAAAUCUCUGUAAGUAGGGAAGAACAUAAGUAAAAUAAAACGUUCAUAUCUUGACGGUACCAAAUCAGAAAGCAACGGCUAACUACGUG
rnacentral:rRNA from 1 species